rnacentral:rRNA from 1 species
AGACAGNUGGUGCAUGGUUGUCGUCAGCUCGUGUCGUGAGAUGUUGGGUUAAGUCCCGCAACGAGCGCAACCCUUAUCCUUAGUUGCCAGCAAGUUAAGUUGGGCUCUCUGGGGAGAUUGCCAGGGAUAACCUGGAGGAAGGUGGGGAUGACGUCAAUUNAUGAUGCCCCUUAUGAUUUGGGCUACACACGUGCUACANUGGCNUAAACNAAG